rnacentral:lncRNA from 1 species
CUUAUUGGGCCCCGCCUUCAAGAAUUUGGGCUUUUGUGACUCGUAUCAUUCCCCCCUUCCUCAAAAAGAUUCGUCCUCGAAUCUGAAAAAUCAAAUGAACUCGACUUUCCUCUAUCGAACGGGACUAAUGGCAAUUGAGUCCACUGAGAAGAAUAGCCAUGAGAUAGUAAAUAGUAACGGAAAUAAGCUUGUAGUCCAAUCAUAAGCAUAAUAGAAUAGGUAUAACGCAUGUGAAUGGACAGAUUCAGAUUACCAUGCAAACAAUCUAAUUUACUCACCACUGCCUCGUCAAAUAUUUGAAACAAAGAUGGACAUGUUUUAAGGCAUUCAGUCGUCUCACAUUGUUCCCACAAACCAUGAAUAAAUUGCGAGUAAUAAAUCAAAUGGUAAACAUAAUC